GAUCAGGUCUGGCUUGGAGAUAGUGACACCAUUUCUUGGCUUCAGGGGUGCCCUGGAGUCUUAGCUAUGAAUCUUCCAAAACCAGCAGUUCGCAGAGCGGUGGAGGCUGAGGCUGUGGCAGAAUCACCUAGACCUCCUGGAGUAGAGGACACAGGGCAGUGAAGACCUAACCCUGAGCUCUGGAUGGAGUGAGAGACAAAAGCAGGUUGAAAAUUUCUAUUUGAAGUUGGAUCAAAGAAAAAUAUGAAGGGAGAGAUGAUGAUAAAGAAUGAAAACAGGACCCUCCUUCAACCACUGAAAUGGGAACACUGUGCUUUCUCUGAGCAGCAGUUAAAGGUCAGCAUUAUUUUCCCAGGCCCUAUGCUAGGCCUGACCGAUUAAAGCUGAGAGCAGAGGCUUACACGGUUAGCAUGGGAAAGGAGAGAAUUCAUG
rnacentral:lncRNA from 1 species